AUCAACUUUCUAUAACGAGGCUAGACACUACACUAAACAUAUAAAGGAUGUAUGGAAAUGCUUAAAAAUCCAAUUUUUAGAAAUUUAGAAAAAUUAAAGUAUUUUGGCACAGAAACAUGUAAUAGCUAUGGGUACCGAGGCCAAUAAGAACACAUGUGGGAUAAAAAUUUUGUUCUAAAGGGACCCUGAAUGAUUUUUUACAAUCGGCGUUCCUGUGUGUGGAAAGAGCUCAAGAGAAGCAUCUCGACACGACGCUGGAAGUUUCGGAUUGGGCAGGAUUAAAGUUUAAUACAAACGCGCCACCCUACAUGGCGUCAGGAAAACAAAAACGGAAAACGCCGAAUUCAAAUCCCUAUCGCGCAAUCCAAAUAAGCUAUUUAUACUUAGGCAUUCCAAUGGGCUUUCAAGACUUUACAUCCACAGAGGUAGUAUAUAAACGAUGAAGCUUUACGUGCACAGCAGAAUAUUGAUGCCGUCAAUACCUUCAUCGCACCGCAGAUUGAAUUUCUUUUACGGAACGGAAGUUUUGCGAAGAAAUCGCUAAACAGCUACGACAAAAAACUGGAAAAUAUGCCAAAAAAAUACCGUACAACUAGUACAAAGAAGAAGGUUUUGGCAUGCCGCCUACAAGCGUGCUAGCCUGACAUCGCACAAAUAGUGCACGCGAUAAGAAUCAUGACGUCGAAGGAUGAUUUGCGAAGUCAAGCUAAAAGAACUAGUACGGAAAAGAAGCAGAACCGACAACGGAGCUCAUGAAGGAGUAUUUGAAUUCGAUGGUGUACUUGCAAAGCCGGCAAUGAUAUAACGUUAUUGUGCUCCAGGAUAAGAGCAGCUAUACGGACUCAAAGCCAAGGUAAGUGUUCGGCUUGAAUUAGGUGCCUUAGAUGUGGGCCAUAAGGUGGAAAGAAAAAGCUGCUGCUGGCUAAGCCCAUUCAAGAAAAUGCAUUUGAGAUUGUUUCGGUCAAGCCAAGACAUUAAAGAGGUUGCUGUAGUGGAUGUUAAUGUGGCAAUCGAGAACCGCUUCGCUUGGUGAAUACAAAAUGUGGGUUGCCUUGUAGCGUUCGAAAUAAGGAGAAAGCACUAGCAGAUGGUCCCGCAACAUUAACAUGGAACACGUUACUGGGCAUAGGCAGUAAACAAACUGUUUAUUUUUUACGUGCAAAACUGCUAUUUUUUUAACAUAAUAUUAUUUUUUUUAACAUUAUAUUAAUCUGUUAUUGGCUGAAUUGGACCGAACCUAUUAAGAAAUAGGAAAAAGACUUUAUUUUUUAUUUUUAUCAAUUUUGUGACAGAAUGUCAAAAUUUCAAGUCUAGGCUUGCCUUGUUUUGAGGCGAUAACAACAACGGCUGACCCGGAUAAAGAGAUAGAAUAUCUGUCAGAGUCAAUAUAUCCGCGGACAAUGCGAAAAUCCAAAACGCCGGUCCAACAAUAUCGUCGAAGAAGGAACCGGAAACGACACUCCACUCUGCAGCUGCUGCCCGCAGCUUUAUGUAUACCUAUCAAAGAGCAGCCGCCAGGCACCUUUAAGGCAAAAAACUUUCGACUCGAGCUGGAUUCUAUCCACGUAACAACAAGUGCUUUGAGAGCCAGAAUGCAGAAGCCGCGUUGAGUGAAAAUGUCACUUUCGAAACAACCUUUUCAAAAAAGCCGAUGAAGGAAAAGCUAACGAAGUAAUAUCAAUUAUUUCUAUCUCCAAUCACUUAAUUUAGAACGGCACGAAGUUUGCGGGCUGGAGAUUUAUACAAUGGGCCCGACUCCACGUGCUGCCAUUGAACGCAUGCCGGACAUAUGGCCAUGGCGACCAACGACGCAGGAAAUAUGGGAGCCAGAAUGAAAAACUUCCACACGUGCUUAUCCACUGGCGUCCACAGUUCGCCACUCUGACUAAAAGGCACAUUUCCAUAGGCUCCAGUAUACGAAUGAAGGAAUGGAGGCAUAAAUGCCAAUGCAAUAAGAAAACUGAGCCCCACAAAUUUCGGAUUCUCACAACAUGAGUUUACAAAGAAACUUACCAGAAACUCACGCAUUUGAUACUGCGACAGCCGAGAAUGGAUGACGACGGUAAAUACGACCGAGAGGUAAAAAUCUAUGCCAAAAAAUAGGGCAACCGAAACGAGUAAGCGCGGAGAUGCUGUUCUUCGCCUACCAUGACCAUCAAACCAAAGCAACCCGUCCAGGUAAACAUCCAUCUCUCCAACGAAAAUCUAUUGCAAGCGGAUAGUGCAAGAUUAGAAAAAAACAAUUGAACAGAAAACAACCAGGGCGUUCCACGAUGUCCCUAUAUCUGUACCGACCGCUCCAGGUAUGACAGAAUAUCAAGUCGAGGCCUGACGGAGGAUCGACGCAAUUGCAACACCGGCUGACUUGGAUAGAAAGGUCAAAAACUUGUCGGGGUCAAUCAAACCGUCGGAAUACUCAGCAACCAGGAACACAAUGGCUCUCAUACACCGGCCUAACGCCAGCCAAAGAUAUCGAAGUAGAAACCGAAAUAUAUUAUUCGACCCUUCAGCUAUUGCCCGAAUUCAGAAAACCUAUAGAAGAGAUACAAAAAUGGCGUUCAGAGAGAUAACUGGGAACCGCGUGGGUUGCUUUGAUCCCGAAUUUUUCCACUGUUUCUUUAGGGCCGUGUAUCGUAAAUAGCCGUUGUGGAAGAAAAUAACAGACCCUUAAUAAAACCUUUUAUACAGCAAGUGGUUUGGGCCCGCCGGGCCGAAGUAUAGGAUAUUAAUUGUGGAAGAAAAUUUAUUCCGGCGCGCACAUCUUGAGGACGAUAUUCCUAUAAUGAAGAGUUUGAGGAGCAGACUCUGUACAGAAAGAAAAAUACAGGUAGUGGGGUAAUCUAAGAAAGCACGCCUUUGGCCGAAACAAAUGAAGGCCGGAUUUCUGCUAUAUAUAAUUAAGGCACCCCGAAAAUCUAAUAAAAGCAAGGUCAUGACAGAGAGCGUAACGGAACGGUGUUACUGAAAUAGUCACCACAUCAUCGGGCGUUAUAGCGGCGGCCCCACAACAGGACGAAACCAGAGGCGUUAUCUAUCCAGCUGACCUAGAUAGAGAAAUCGAAGAUCUCACGAAUUCGAUCAAGUACAAAAACCCGAAACGAAAAAGGUUGCAUGCACAGACCCAAUGCCAAUCUGAGACAACGUUGUAGGAGGAACCCGUAAUUGACUUUCAAGCUGCUCGUAUACAAAAAAAAAACAUACUUACGAGACCGUAAAAGGGUGUUGCUGGGUGUCGUCAAGGAAAAAGCACGCGAAAACAGGAUGCCUACCCCAGCAGAGACGCCACCGGAACCGGACCCAACAGCUUUGAUAUUCGGAGGAGCGACGAAAUAUCGAUGUGGGUCAGCUUGGCGGAAAUAAGAGCCGCCACAGAACCACCAGCUCCACUGCCCGAAGUAACUAUUGACGAAAUUCCGAGGUUGCCCAGAAUGGUGGAAAUAAGAGCCGACACAGAUCCGCCAGCCCUACUUCCCGAUGUAAUAAGCUACAAAAUUUCCAGGUGGCCCAGAAUAAUGAAAAUGUGAUCGGCGGACGAAACAAACAUUCAAACAAAUCAACAGCCAGAGCCUCGACCCGAGAGGUACACUAAUACGAACGCAACGGAGGCAACGGAAAGAAGGGUCGUGGAACGCCUGCGCGAUCUCCCAAAGAAGCUUACCAGGACGCAUGCCUACAAAACCUUGCGAUUAUGACCUCAGACUUUCGCUCAGCACAGAAAGUUCCACAUCUGCGGAAUCUGAGAUCAUCUACUUAAGCCUACCGCUGAAAGAUGACAGAAUACAUUGCCCCAAAUGCAGGAAAGCAUACGCCCAGAAAAAUAAAUUAAUGAUGCAUUUGAGGAUAGAGCACCACGCUAUACUCAAAUAUAAAUGCUUGCUAUGCAUCGUAACAACUUCGAUGAACGCAUUUAGGGGCCACCUUAUGAAAUGCGAAGGCCUUGGGAAAAAGGCCAAUAUGACAAACCAAAACAACCCGACCAAGCCAACACCCAACAUUCCACCAAAGUCCGCUUCUACAGCUAGUUCGAAUAUCCAGGCUGCGACCAACGGGCCUACAUCGACCAUCCAAACGAGACUUAAACUGCAGCGACCACAUCAGCGACCAGGAGUAAUACCUCCUUUUCAGCUUCUAGCUCUCAAAUAAUGACAAGGUCGAGAAGUAGAGCAGCGAUUGCGCCUCCAACAGACUGUGGACAGAAGGGCGGUAAGGUUAUUUGGAAAACUAAAAAAGCGCCUCCAGACAAAACAAGCGAAAGCCGGGAAUCCACCACGGCUGAGAUAUCACCAGAACUUAAUCCGCCAGGACUACUGCGCGAGGAAGCCGGCGACAAUAUUCCGCUGUUGCACAGUCUAGCAGAAAUCACCACGAAUAGAACAAGCGGAAACCAGUUGCCUACCAUUGCAGAGACGCCACCGGAGCCGAACCGCCAGCUUCACUACCCGGAGCAUCAAACGAUAAAAUCCCAAUGUGGCCCAGUUUAGUAGUGAGAAGCAAAUGAAGAGUUAGCGCCCCCGGUCGAGGUGGUUUCCAAUGAGAACGAAGCGGUGACGGUGAAUGAAAUGGAGAGGUAAAUUGCGGAACGCCUGCGCGAUAUAAGAACCAUAACAGAAGAAACCAACUCCCGGCCAAGCGAGACUCCAUCGCGAGCAGAAGGCGUCCACGAACAAACAACAACCGAAAGAACUAUCCCUACGUCUUCAUUGCUUGCUCCAAAACUUGACGAGAUUCCAGGUCGAGGCC